UUCUCAGAAUGGGCUCAUUAGACGCAGCAUGGAUAACAUCGUGGAGAAGCUCACGGCUCUCCAACGGGAAGGGUGAGGAACCAGUGAUGGACAUUAGACCGACUGUAAAAUUGACAUGCAGCUGUUCGCACUAAAGCAAGAACACCACCAUUAUUUCAUGCACCAUAUUGGUGCCAGCUGCGGUCUCAAGGAUUUCCCUGGCCUUCUUGCAGCAUGUGGCUCACCUGCGGCGCAUUCUGAAGCUGAUUAAAUCUGCUGGUCUUACUAUCAAUCCUCACAAGUUUAAGAUCGCACAGACUCAGGUGGAGUACCUUGGAUAUGUGGUUGGACAUGGACAGGUGAAGCCUCCGGUGGGGAAAAUGGAGGCAAUCCAUGCAUAUCCAGUGCCUACAACGAAGAAGAAGGUGCGGGCAUUAAUACAUUGAUAAAAGCUAUUUUGGAGAGAGACACAGAGCAUUGAGAAGAAAGGGAUGUUGUUAUCUGCUGCCUCAUUAGCUACCUCGGGGAAAGACAAGAAGAUCUUUUUCAUGACUGCCAGGAAUGGGAGGACUACACAAACAAUAUGAUGAAGGUGAUCGUGAUCCACAACAUCAUGGCUGAGGAGGAUCCAUCAGAUGUGUCCAUUGUGAUUGAGGGAAACCAAGUGAUGGAGGGAUGUGGAAGCUGAACAAAGGCAUGUGUACUGCUGAUGGAACUGAUUUAUGCCCUCAACCUCGAAUAUCCAAAGGAGCUGAAGAACACAUUUGACACUUUUCAAAAACGUUUUUUGGAACUUGACGGGGCGAAACUACUGAAAAAGGUCCGCGGCCUCAAAAAUAAACUUAUGCAAUGCAAACACAUUUCUCUUGUUCCAAGAGGAUCUUUAGUCCUGACAUAGCUUGAUGGGGCUGUAAUUUUUCUUCUGACAGCAAGCAGAUUGAAUGCUGUUCUAUCCAUAUGUUUGAUAACGUACAUGCACAGAAACAACCUCGUAGAGUUUCUGUAUGUGCUUUUGGCUUUUAAAAUGGACUAAGUGGCAUUUGAAAGUGUUCUCUGCAUUAGCUGUUGUGAUGCACUUUAUUCUGUGUUU